UACAGAGGGGGCGAGCGUUGUUCGGAAUUACUGGGCGUAAAGGGCGCGUAGGCGACCUUCUAAGUCGAACGUGAAAUCCCCGGGCUCAACCCGGGAACUGCGUCCGAUACUGGGAGGCUUGAAUCCGGGAGAGGGAUGUGGAAUUCCAGGUGUAGCGGUGAAAUGCGUAGAUAUCUGGAGGAACACCGGUGGCGAAGGCGGCAUCCUGGACCGGUAUUGACGCUGAGGCGCGAAAGCCAGGGGAGCAAACGGG
rnacentral:rRNA from 1 species